AUUUAAAUUAAUCAAGAUUGUAAUAUAGAUACGAAAAUUAAUAGGUAAAUGUACAUGUCAUGAUGUCAAUGAGUUAGUAAUUUUACAUUAAUUUGUUAUUUAAUAAAGUGUGUGAAUCCAAAUUGAGCCAAAGAAAUAGGUACACUUACCUUAUAUUUUGAAAACUAACUUUCAAAAUUCAAAAAUUUUGGAAAGAAUAUAUCAAUUUGCAUAUGUGAAUGUAAAUAUAUUUUAAUAAUAAUUACUCUUAAAUUUUAAACAAAUUAGGUUGGCUAUAAGAAUCUCUAUUGAUUAUGUUUCUAAAAUUACAAUAUAAAUAAUCACACUUUUAAUCUCUUGAUUAUUGAUAAAUUCUAAAGGGGAGUUUUGACGUGACUGAUAAAGUUGUAGUCAUGUGAUCAAUAAAUCAUAGGUUUCGGUCGUGAAAAAAAAAACUUGUAGAAAUGUACGAUAAGCUGCGUACAAUAGACCUUUUACCAUCCAACGCUUUCCCGAACCUCUAUAAGUGAAUAUCACAUAAUUUUGGGGAAAAGGUUUGAAAUAUACUUAAACUUUAGCGAAAUUUGCCGUAACAAACCUCAACUUUGCAAGUGUCUUAUGCCCCCCGUAGAUUAUUUUUUAG
rnacentral:lncRNA from 1 species